AAACGUGAAUUUAAACAAAUGAACGUUAACGUACGAACCGCAGGAUCGUGACAAUGUAAUUAGCAGUCGGCAACACUUUUAUGCACAACAUGGCGGCCGCAUUUCGCCUGUUAACGGUUUUUACGUCGCUUUUUUUUUACGGCGCACGACUCUGAUAUACCGUCGGAACCAUAGACGCAUUAGUAUGUCAACGAUUGUAGCCAUAGUCCUAAGUACGAGUCUAAACUUUUAUAUUUUCGUAUUUGUUAUUUCCUUAUACUCCUUGACGGCCG